AGGGUGAAGCGCGGGUAAGACCGCGUGGAGGCCCGAACCCACUUAGGUUGAAGACUGAGGGGAUGAGUUGUGGGUAGGGGUGAAAGGCCAAUCAAACUCCGUGAUAGCUGGUUCUCCCCGAAAUGCAGUUAGGUGCAGCGUCGCAGUGUUCGUGUCGGAGGUAGAGCUACUGGAUGGCCGAUGGGCCUCACAAGGUUACUGACGUCAGCCAAACUCCGAAUGCCGACACGGUUGAAUGCGGCAGUGAGACGGCGG
rnacentral:rRNA from 1 species